rnacentral:lncRNA from 1 species
GCCAUCCAACGCAGCAGUUGCGUUCAGGUGCAGCUGUAGCUGAGAAUUCUCUCUCAGAGCCGGUGCUCAGGACAGCACUGAGGAGGCCCCAGAUGAGAAGAUGUGACAAAAUGGGGGUCUGGGGCCAGAGGGCAAGUAUGAAUUCGGCCUGAGCUGUGUCCUGCUCCAGAGGCUCUCAGCAGCAGGUGAACACAUGGAGACAUAUGCAUGUUGAUGACGGACA